CCAGCCGCAAGAUGAGAACUCCAUUGAGGGUCGUCAGAGACGAUGACGUUGAUAGGAUGCAGGUGUAAAGACAGCGAUGUCAAAGCCGAGCAUUACUAAUUGCCCGAACACUUUCUUUAA
rnacentral:rRNA from 1 species